rnacentral:sRNA from 1 species
CAGUACCCAGGAAAUCUGCGGAUUGUAG